rnacentral:rRNA from 1 species
AUGCACGCUGGCGGCGUGCCUAAUCCAUGCCAGUCGAGCGAACAGAUGAGGAGCUUGCUCCUCUGACGUUAGCGGCGGACGGGUGAGUAACACGUGGAUAACCUACCUAUAAGACUGGGAUAACUUCGGGAAACCGGAGCUAAUACCGGAUAAUAUAUUGAACCGCAUGGUUCAAUAGUGAAAGACGGUUUUGCUGUCACUUAUAGAUGGAUCCGCGCCGCAUUAGCUAGUUGGUAAGGUAACGGCUUACCAAGGCAACGAUGCGUAGCCGACCUGAGAGGGUGAUCGGCCACACUGGAACUGAGACACGGUCCAGACUCCUACGGGAGGCAGCAGUAGGGAAUCUUCCGCAAUGGGCGAAAGCCUGACGGAGCAACGCCGCGUGAGUGAUGAAGGUCUUCGGAUCGUAAAACUCUGUUAUUAGGGAAGAACAAAUGUGUAAGUAACUAUGCACGUCUUGACGGUACCUAAUCAGAAAGCCACGGCUAACUACGUG